CCUACGGGUGGCAGCAGUGAGGAAUAUUGGUCAAUGGACGAGAGUCUGAACCAGCCAAGUAGCGUGAAGGAUGACUGCCCUAUGGGUUGUAAACUUCUUUUAUAUGGGAAUAAAAUGUUCCACGUGUGGGAUUUUGUAUGUACCAUAUGAAUAAGGAUCGGCUAACUCCGUGCCAGCAGCCGCGGUAAUACGGAGGAUCCGAGCGUUAUCCGGAUUUAUUGGGUUUAAAGGGAGCGUAGGUGGAUUGUUAAGUCAGUUGUGAAAGUUUGCGGCUCAACCGUAAAAUUGCAGUUGAAACUGGCAGUCUUGAGUACAGUAGAGGUGGGCGGAAUUCGUGGUGUAGCGGUGAAAUGCUUAUAUAUCACGAAGAACUCCGAUUGCGAAGGCAGUUCACUGGACUGCAACUGACACUGAGGCUCGAAAGUGUGGGUAUCAAACAGGAUUAGAUACCCUUGUAGUC
rnacentral:rRNA from 1 species